ACCUGAGUACUAUGAAUGUUAAAAAUUUAAAACUCAAAGAACUUGNGCGGUGUUUUAGACCACUCAGGGGAACCUGUCUCAUAAUCGAUAAUCCACGCUGUACCUGACCCUUUUUUGUGUUCAGUUUGUAUACCGUUGUCGUCAGGUAACUUUUUAGAAAUUAGAAGUUAGCAGCAGAAAUAGAAAUAAUUUAAUACGUCAAAUCAAGGUGCAGCUAAUGAAAGGGGGAGGAUGGGUUACAAUUAUAUAAUUUAUAAUAACGGAUAGGUGUAUGGAGUAUAUACUAAUUAUAAGGCGGACUUGAAAGUAAAUUAGGUUAUAUAAAUAAUUUGAAUAAGGCUCUGAAACGUGU
rnacentral:rRNA from 1 species